CCUACGGGUGGCAGCAGUGGGGAAUAUUGGACAAUGGGGGAAACCCUGAUGCAGCGACGCCGCGUGAGUGAGGAAGUAUUUCGGUAUGUAAAGCUCUAUCAGCAGGGAAGAAAAUGACGGUACCUGACUAAGAAGCCCCGGCUAACUACGUGCCAGCAGCCGCGGGAAUACGUAGGGGGCAAGCGUUAUCCGGAUUUACUGGGUGUAAGGGGAGCGUAGACGGUUAAUCAAGUCAGAAGUGAAAACCCCGGGCUCAACCUUGGGACUGCUUUUGAAACUGAGUAGCUAGAGUGCAGGAGAGGGAAGCGGAAUUCCUGGUGUAGCGGUGAAAUGCGUAGAUAUUAGGAGGAACACCAGUGGCGAAGGCGGCUUACUGGACUGUAACUGACGUUGAUGCUCGAAAGCGUGGGGAGCAAACAGGAUUAGAUACCCGUGUAGUC
rnacentral:rRNA from 1 species